AUGAACGCUGGCGGCGUGCCUAAUACAUGCAAGUCGAGCGAACGGACGAGAAGCUUGCUUCUCUGAUGUUAGCGGCGGACGGGUGAGUAACACGUGGAUAACCUACCUAUAAGACUGGGAUAACUUCGGGAAACCGGAGCUAAUACCGGAUAAUAUUUUGAACCGCAUGGUUCAAAAGUGAAAGACGGUCUUGCUGUCACUUAUAGAUGGAUCCGCGCUGCAUUAGCUAGUUGGUAAGGUAACGGCUUACCAAGGCAACGAUGCAUAGCCGACCUGAGAGGGUGGUCGGCCACACUGGAACUGAGACACGGUCCAGACUCCUACGGGAGGCAGCAGUAGGGAAUCUGCCGCAAUGGGCGAAAGCCUGACGGAGCAACGCCGCGUGAGUGAUGAAGGUCUUCGGAUCGUAAAACUCUGUUAUUAGGGAAGAACAUAUGUGUAAGUAACUGUGCACAUCUUGACGGUACCUAAUCAGAAAGCCACGGCUAACUACGUG
rnacentral:rRNA from 1 species